GGUGAACGCUGGCGGUAGGCCUAACACAUGCAAGUCGAACGGCAGCACAGUAAGAGCUUGCUCUUAUGGGUGGCGAGUGGCGGACGGGUGAGGAAUACAUCGGAAUCUACUUUUUCGUGGGGGAUAACGUAGGGAAACUUACGCUAAUACCGCAUACGACCUACGGGUGAAAGCAGGGGAUCUUCGGACCUUGCGCGAUUGAAUGAGCCGAUGUCGGAUUAGCUAGUUGGCGGGGUAAAGGCCCACCAAGGCGACGAUCCGUAGCUGGUCUGAGAGGAUGAUCAGCCACACUGGAACUGAGACACGGUCCAGACUCCUACGGGAGGCAGCAGUGGGGAAUAUUGGACAAUGGGCGCAAGCCUGAUCCAGCCAUACCGCGUGGGUGAAGAAGGCCUUCGGGUUGUAAAGCCCUUUUGUUGGGAAAGAAAAGCAGCAGGUUAAUACCCCGCUGUUCUGACGGUACCCAAAGAAUAAGCACCGGCUAACUUCGUG
rnacentral:rRNA from 1 species